rnacentral:tRNA from 1 species
GCCGCCGUAGCUCAGUUGGCAGAGCAGCGGACUUUUAAUCCGACGCGCGUGAGUUCGAGUCUCACCGGCGGCA